rnacentral:rRNA from 1 species
GCAUAUCAAUAAGCGGAGGAAAAGAAACCAACAGGGAUUGCCCUAGUAACGGCGAGUGAAGCGGCAACAGCUCAAAUUUGAAAUCUGGCUCUUUUAGGGUCCGAGUUGUAAUUUGCAGAGGGCGCUUUGGCGUUGGCAGCGGUCCAAGUUCCUUGGAACAGGACGUCACAGAGGGUGAGAAUCCCGUACGUGGUCGCUAUCCAUCGCCGUGUAAAGCCCCUUCGACGAGUCGAGUUGUUUGGGAAUGCAGCUCUAAAUGGGAGGUAAAUUUCUUCUAAAGCUAAAUACUGGCCAGAGACCGAUAGCGCACAAGUAGAGUGAUCGAAAGAUGAAAAGCACUUUGGAAAGAGAGUCAAAUAGCACGUGAAAUUGUUGAAAGGGAAGCGCUUGCAGCCAGACUUGCCUGUAGUUGCUCAUCCGGGCUUUUGCCCGGUGCACUCUUCUGCGGGCAGGCCAGCAUCAGUUUGGGCGGUUGGAUAAAGGUCUCUGUCAUGUACCUCUCUUCGGGGAGGCCUUAUAGGGGAGACGACAUGCAACCAGCCUGGACUGAGGUCCGCGCAUUUGCUAGGAUGCUGGCGUAAUGGCUGUAAGCGGCCCGUCUUGAAACACGGACCAAGGAGUCUAACAUCUAUGCGAGUGUUUGGGUGUCAAGCCCGAGCGCGUAAUGAAAGUGAACGGAGGUGGGACCCCAUUAGGGUGCACCAUCGACCGAUCCUGAUGUCUUCGGAUGGAUUUGAGUAAGAGCAUGGCUGUUGGGACCCGAAAGAUGGUGAACUAUGCUUGAAUAGGGUGAAGCCAGAGGAAACUCUGGUGGAGGCUCGCAGCGGUUCUGACGUGCAAAUCGAUCGUCAAAUUUGGGCAUAGGGCGAAAGACUAAUCG